CCCCACCACCACCAAACCACCCUUUUUUCCUACUUUACAUUAUUGUUUAAUCAUAUUAUAAAGGGGUUGAUUUUUUUCUUGAUUAUUAGAUUCUAUUAAUUUGUUACUAAUUAUUUGUAUUAAUUUUAAUCUACUCAUCAUGAGUGAUGAUUAAAAGUACUUUACUGUUGAGCAAUUGAAGAAACAUAACAAACAAGAUGAUUUAUGGAUUUCAAUUCAAGGAAAAUGUUACAAUGUUACAGAUUGUAUUAAUGAUGCAUUCAUUGCUUUUCAUCCAGGUAAUGCUUGGAAAUAUCUUGACAAGGUUUUCACCGGAUAUCAUCUAAAAGAUUACGAGGUAACAGAGGUGUCUAAAAAUUACCGGAAACGUUGUUCUUAAAUUUCGAAAGCAGGAUGUUUGUAAAAAGGGGCAUGGAGUGAUUUAUUCGUUCUGUUUUGUGGCAUUGUUAAUGUCAUUGAGUUUAUGUGUUUUGUUGAGUAAAAAUUUCUUGUUCCAUAUGCAUGCUUUCUGAUGCAUUAUUGGGAUUAGCUUGGAUGCAAAUCUCUUAUUUGGGACAAAAUAAAAAAUUCUUGGUUCAUA